AACAGGAUUAGAUACCCUGGUAGUCUCGGCCCUAAACGAUGAUCACUAGGUGUCGGGGGGUUUCCCUCGGUGCCGCAGCUAACGCAUUAAGUGAUCCGCCUGGGGACUACGGCCGCAAGGUUGAAACUCAAAGGAAUUGGCGGGGGACCGCACAAGCGGUGGAGCAUAUGGCUUAAUUCGAUGCAACGCGAAGAACCUUACCCAGGCUUGACAUGUAACUGCAAGCUCCCCAAAAGGAGCCGCUUUCGAAGGUGUUACACAGGUGGUGCAUGGCUGUCGUCAGCUCGUGUUGUGAAAUGUUGGGUUAAGUCCCGCAACGAGCGCAACCCUCAUGUUCUGUUGCCAGCGAGUAAUGUCGGGAACUCGGAACAAACUGCCCAUGUAAGUGGGAGGAAGGUGGGGAUGACGUCAAGUCAUCAUGCCCCUUACGCCUGGGGCUGCACAUAUGCUACAAUGGCUGCUACAAAGGGCUGCGAACUCGCAAGAGUAAGCCAAUCCCAAAAAAGCAGUCUCAGUUCGGAUUGGAGUCUGCAACUCGACUCCAUGAAGCUGGAAUCGCUAGUAACCGCAGGUCAGCACUACUGCGGUGAAUACGUUCCCGGUCCUUGCACACACCGCCCGUCACAUGACGAAAGUUGGUAUUAUCCGAAGUCACCAGGCUAACCGCAAGGAAGCAAGUGCCGAAGGUAGUGCCGAUGAUUGGCGUGAAGUCGUAACAAGGUAACC
rnacentral:rRNA from 1 species